rnacentral:rRNA from 1 species
UCGAGAAUUUUUCUCAAUGGGCGAAAGCCUGAAGGAGCGACGCCGCGUGGGGGAUGAAGGGCUUCGGUCCGUAAACCCCUGUCAUUUGCGAACAAACCUUGAUGUUGAACAUUCAUCAAGCUGAUUGUAGCGAAAGAGGAAGGGACGGCUAACUCUGUGCCAGCAGCCGCGGUAAUACAGAGGUCCCGAGCGUUGUUCGGAUUCACUGGGCGUAAAGGGUGCGCAGGUGGGCUGGUAAGUUUGAUGUGAAAGCCCCGGGCUUAACCCGGGAAUGGCAUUGAAUACUACUGGUCUGGAGGAUUGGAGGGGGGACUGGAAUUCUUGGUGUAGCAGUGAAAUGCGUAGAUAUCAAGAGGAACACCAGUGGCGAAGGCGAGUCCCUGGACAAUACCUGACACUGAGGCACGAAAGCCAAGGGAGCAAACAGGAUUAGAUACCCCCGUAGUCC